UACGUAGGUGACCAGCGUUGUCCGGAUUUACUGGGCGUAAAGAGCGCGCAGGCGGUCGUUCAAGUCGAGUGUGAAAGCCCCCGGCUCAACUGGGGAGGGUCAUUCGAUACUGAUCGACUCGAAGGCAGGAGAGGGAAGCGGAAUUCCCGGUGUAGUGGUGAAAUGCGUAGAUAUCGAGAGGAACACCUGCGGCGAAGGCGGGUUGCUGGGCUGACACUGACGCUGAAGCGCGAAAGCCAGGGGAGCGAACGGG
rnacentral:rRNA from 1 species